GAUGAACGCUGGCGGCGUGCCUAAUACAUGCAAGUCGAGCGAACAGACGAUGAGCUUGCUCCUCUGACGUUAGCGGCGGACGGGCGAGUAACACGUGUAUAACCUACCUAUAUGACUGGGAUAACUUCGGGAAACCGGAUCUUAUACCGGAUAAUAUAUUGAACCGCAUGGUUCAAUAGUGAAAGACGGUUUUGCUGUCACUUAUAGAUGGAUCCGCGCCGCAUUAGCUAGUUGGUAAGUUAACGGGCUACCAAGGCAACGAUGCGUAGCCGAACUGAGAGGGUGAUCGGCCGCCCUGGAACUGAGACACGGUCCAGAGUCCUACGGGAGGCAGCAGUAGGGAAUCUUCCGCAACGGUCGAAAGCCUGACGCAGCAACGCCGAGUGAGUGAUGAAGGUCUUGGGAUCGUAAAGCCCUGUUAUUAGGUAAGAACAAAUGUGGCAGUAACUAUGCACGUCUUGACGGUACCUAAUCAGAAAGCCCCGGCUAACUACGUG
rnacentral:rRNA from 1 species